UCUCGUGUGUUUUUGUUUGUUUUCGCUUGUCUGGUCGCUUUAAGCGCUGUCAGCGCCGCGCCAGAACCGAGAUGGAAGUUCUUCAAGAAGAUUGAAAAGGUGGGCCGCAACAUCAGAGACGGUAUCAUCAAGGCAGGUCCCGCCAUCGAGGUGUUGGGUGCAGCCAAGGCGCUGGGGAA